GCGGGCAUAGCUCAGUCGGUAGAGCGUCAGCUUCCCAAGCUGAAGGUCGCGGGUUCGAUUCCCGUUGCCCGCUCCA
rnacentral:tRNA from 2 species